GUACCCAAAAUUUUCUUAUAAAUACUCGGAUGGUAGUAAUAUUUAUGUUCAAGUUGGAAACUUUCUGCUUUUAGUCAAUCAGUGUUAUUUUUCUUGAAAAUGUAUUUUGUCCACUAACAUAACCCAUCAUUGCAUUUAUAUUUCUUAGUCCGCUUUCUUGAUUUCUUAAUCUUUUUUCACUUUUGGGUGCCAAAAAUUCUUGAAUGUGAAGAUGGAUCUGAUACAGAUACCUCCAAUAUCCGUACAAUCCGGCUGUUGUGUCGUUGGUGGACGGAUUUAGCGAUACCCAUUAACCGGCUGCCGAUUUCAUUGCGCCAAU
rnacentral:misc_RNA from 1 species